UACCACCCCGGGCAGUGAACAGUUGGUCAUUUAAAACCCCUUCAAAUCAGCACUUUUCACAAGCACUUUUCCAUGUGCCCAGAAGUUUGGAACUUUUAAACCCAGCAUGCCUAUGGGAAUAGAUUAUAGCCCUGUGCAUUUGUGACCCAGUAUCCUACACAGGCUUGACUCCAGACUCAAUAAUUAUUUCACUACCUCUUCUUUGAGAUGAAAGGUUAUAGAGUCAUAAAGAAGUAGGGCUGGAAGGGACUUCCAGAGGUCAUCUAGCUCAACGCCCUGCCUGAGGCAGGGUCAUUCCUGUCCAAACCAUGCUAUACAGCCAUAAUCUAAAUUCUACAGAAGACAUCCCUCAACCCUGGCACAAUAUAAACCUGACACCCUCACCUGCCAUAGGGAAAGCAGGGGAAUCACAGCAGCCAAUGUCCUGCUUCUAUAAAAUGUUGUCAAUACUCAUUUGUGAGAUC